AUUGAACGCUGGCGGAAUGCUUUACACAUGCAGGUCGAACGGCAGCACGGACUUCGGUCUGGUGGCGAGUGGCGAACGGGUGAGUAAUGUAUCGGAACGUGCCCAGUCGUGGGGGAUAACGUAGUGAAAAUUACGCUAAUACCGCAUACGAUCUAUGGAUGAAGGCGGGGGAUCACAAGACCUCGCGCGAUUGGAGCGGCCGAUAUCGGAUUAGGUAGUUGGUGGGGUAAAGGCCCACCAAGCCAACGAUCUGUAGCUGGUCUGAGAGGACGACCAGCCACACUGGAACUGAGACACGGUCCAGACUCCUACGGGAGGCAGCAGUGGGGAAUUUUGGACAAUGGGCGAAAGCCUGAUCCAGCCAUUCCGCGUGCAGGAUGAAGGCCCUCGGGUUGUAAACUGCUUUUGUACAGAACGAAAAGGUUUCUACUAAUACUAGGAGCUCAUGACGGUACUGUAAGAAUAAGCACCGGCUAACUACGUGCCAGCCGCCGCAGUAA
rnacentral:rRNA from 1 species